UGAAUUCAAGUUGGAAGGCCAUGCAAUUGUGUAUGAAAAAUGGAAGUGGAAAACAUCCAAAUGGUCCUUCAACUUGCACCCAUGCUCUAGUCCUAUGUUACUUUGGCCAAAUGAGGUGAUCUUGGACGUUUUGGAAUGGUGAGGUCAAGGGAAACAACUUUCAUGUUGAACACUUUUUCAUUUGAAGCUUGUAUCAUGAUGAAUUUUGAGUUGGAAGUUUGGGAAAUCAAACAUAUUUGAAAAUUUUCUAAGUCCCAAGUCAAAUGUUCACUUUUUCCACCUUGAAUAACUUUU
rnacentral:lncRNA from 1 species